rnacentral:lncRNA from 1 species
GGGGGGGUAAAUAUAGGAGGGGUAUUCCCUAAAUAAUCAACCAACAAAAAUUCUAGUGAAAUCAACUCCUAAGAGAUCAACAAGCAACACACUCAUGGCAACCUACGGUGGUCAAUCAAAUAAACACAUAUCACCAGAUAGAGAAAGGCUAUGUUCCACCAACCAAUCUGGCAUGAAGUUCUUCUCCCUAGGAGUGUGAACCAGUUUCCAACACUUGUCCUUUCAGCAUGCACCUCGUACAACUCCAAUGAAUCAAAAAUAAGGAUUUGAAG